rnacentral:rRNA from 1 species
GACGAACGCUGGCGGCGUGCUUAACACAUGCAAGUCGAACGGAAAGGCCCUGCGUUUGUGGGGUGCUCGAGUGGCGAACGGGUGAGUAACACGUGAGUAACCUGCCCUUGACUGUGGGAUAACUUCAGGAAACUGGGGCUAAUACCGGAUAGGAGCUCCUGCUGCAUGGGGGGGGUUGGAAAGUUUCGGCGUUGGGGGAUGGACUCGCGGCUUAUCAGCUUGUUGGUGGGGUAGUGGCUGACCAAGGCUUUGACGGGUAGCCGGCCUGAGAGGGUGACCGGCCACCUUGCGCCUGAGAUACGGCCCAGACUCCUACGGGCGGCAGCAGUGGGGAAUCUUGCACAAUGGGCGGACGCCUGAUGCAGCAACGCCGCGUGCGGGAUGCUGGCCUUCGGGUUGUAAACCGCUUUCGCCUGUGCCGAAGCGUUCGUGACGGUAAUGGGUAAAGAAGCACCGGCUAACUACGUG